AAUCACACACGCUGCUCACCCACCACCAGACAGACCGUUCAAACACUUAAUGAUGGAUUUCAUAGAGCUAUCACCUAGUGGUAGCAAAGGCUCUGUGAACAGAAAUCACUCCCAGAUGGGAAAUACCAACUGAACAACGAUAAUGGCUCUCAUUUUUCGGAAAAUUCUGCAAUAACCCAAAUCAGUGAAUUUCUUGCCAUUGACCUCAGACAACAUUGCACAUAUCACCCUGCCAGUGGGGGUAAUGUCAAAUGAGAGAAUGGCUUUUGAGAUAAAAUUGGCUAAAUGCUGUGACGAAACGGGACUGCCAUGGACAAAAAGCUCUGCCGAUUGUUCUAAUGGAUAUGAUAAUCAGGAAAAGAGCCAGAGUAAACAUGAGUCCCUGUAGAAUUCUUUUUUGGCAGACCUCUGUCCCUUGGAGUGGAGCCUGUAACCAGGCCACUCCCCUCCACUGGCCUAUGUCAGGAUGACAUGCUACAAUAUUGCAAGAGCUUAUUCUGCACUCUCUCUCAAAUCUCCCAGCAGGUGAAAUCAGCCCUUCCACCACCAGCUUCCACAUCCCUCCACGACUUCCAGCCUGACGACUGGUUGAUGAUAAAGGACCUCAGAAGGAAGCACUGGCACUCCAAACGGUGGCGAGGUCCAUUCCAGGUGCUUCUGACGACACAUACCGCUGUGAAGAUCGCUGAGAGAACAACGUGGGUUCACGCCAGCCACUGCAGGAAGGUCCCGAAGCCAACAGAUGAUCCAAACCACCAACCCCGA